rnacentral:sRNA from 1 species
UUUUUUUCUUGAAUACACAAGAGAGUUGCAUAUCAUUUCAUUAAGAGAGAAGAGGAAACACGGGAUGGGAGCUGAAACGCCCCCACUCACCACAAAC